rnacentral:lncRNA from 1 species
UCACUAAAUUGGGAUCCGAUCGGAUCAUUAUUAUAGCCACAAUGGAGAAAUUAAUUUCCAGUGGCUAAACCCACCCUGUCCCGCAGCUUUUGUUGUUCUUUUUACAUUCUCUCAUUCACACUCUGCUUCACUCGGCCCCUGCCUCUGCCCUCCCCCUGCUGAUUCCUCUUACGAUUUUAACCCACCCCGUCCCGCAGCUUAUAUUUGUUUUUUUUUUUUUUUUGUGCGGAUGGUGCCUCUGCCUCUGACUUGAGUCUGCAGUGUGUGGGUCUAGGGAAGGGCGGCGAGCUAACGGAGCGUGUUGGUGUGAGAAGUGUUAUAGAUGUAGAUGACAGAUGAAGAAAAAAUGUAAAAUUUGACAAACUACCGCCAAGGUGCAGAUGUAGUAUUGAGUGCCAGGUUUAAAAGUUGUGACGCAUAAAAAGGGUCUCACACGUCCCUUUUCGUUUUUUUUGCUUUUUUUAUUCCCGUCCUCGUUGUUUCGCUCAAGUGUGUGUAAGCAUUUCCAGGCUCUUCUUACUAUCAUCUCCGUUUCUUUCCCAUUGCAUCGGUCGCUCUGUCUCUAAUUUCCUCUCUCAUGGACUUACUUUCUUGUGUAGUGUCUAAAUAAGUUGAGAGUCAACUUACAAAGAUUCUUAAUUGGAAUUUUACAAACUCGUUUGUUU